rnacentral:rRNA from 1 species
CCUACGGGGGGCUGCAGUGGGGAAUAUUGCGCAAUGGGGGGAACCCUGACGCAGCAACGCCGCGUGAGCGACGAAGGCCUUCGGGUCGUAAAGCUCUGUCAUAGGGGACGAAACAAGACUGUACCCUAAGAGGAAGCCCCGGCUAACUACGUGCCAGCAGCCGCGGUAACACGUAGGGGGCAAACGUUGUCCGGAAUUACUGGGCGUAAAGCGCGCGUAGGCGGUCAAUUAAGUCAGGUGUGAAAGGCCCGGGCUUAACCCGGGUAUUGCACUUGAAACUGAUUGACUUGAGGACAGGCGAGGGAAGUGGAAUUCCUAGUGUAGCGGUGAAAUGCGUAGAUAUUAGGAAGAACACCAGUGGCGAAGGCGACUUCCUGGACUGUAACUGACGCUGAGGUGCGAAAGCGUGGGUAGCGAACAGGAUUAGAUACCCCGGUAGUC